rnacentral:rRNA from 1 species
ACCCAAUAGAUACCCGGGUAGUCCACGCCCUAAACGAUGUAUGCUUGGUGUUGGCUCGUAUGAGUCAGUGCCGUAGGUAAACCUGAUAAGCAUACCACCUGGGGAGUACGCUCGCAAGGGUGAAACUCAAAGGAAUUGACGGGGGCCCGCACAAGCGGUGGAGCAUGUGGUUUAAUUCGAGGCUACGCGAAGAACCUUACCUGGGCUUGAACUGCCGGUAGUAGGACCCUGAAAGGGGAACGACCCGCAAGGGAGCCGGCGGAGGUGCUGCAUGGCUGUCGUCAGCUCGUGCCGCGAGGUGUUGGGUUAAGUCCCGCAACGAGCGCAACCCCUACCCUUAGUUGCCAUCAGGUUAUGCUGGGCACUCUAAGGGGACUGCCUACGCAAGUAGUGAGGAAGGUGGGGAUGAUGUCAAGUCAUCAUGGUCCUUACGUCCAGGGCUACACACGUGCUACAAUGAACGGUACAAUGGGCAAAACCGCAAGGUGGAGGCAAUCCCAAAAACCCGUUCUCAGUACGGAUUGGAGUCUGCAACUCGACUCC